AGUGAACGCUGGCGGUAGGCCUAACACAUGCAAGUCGAACGGCAGCACAGUAAGAGCUUGCUCUUAGGGGUGGCGAGUGGCGGACGGGUGAGGAAUACAUCGGAAUCUACUUUUUCGUGGGGGAUAACGUAGGGAAACUUACGCUAAUACAGCAUACGACCUACGGGUGAAAGCAGGGGAUCUUCGGACUUUGCGCGAUUGAAUGAGCCGAUGUCGGAUUAGCUAGUUGGCGGGGUAAAGGCCCACCAAGGCGACGAUGCGUAGCUGGUCUGAGCGGAUGAUCAGCCACACUGGCACUGAGACACGGUCCAGACUCCUACAGGAGGCAACAGUGCGGAAUAUUAGACAAUGCACGCAAGCCUGAUCCAGCACUACCGCCUGGGUGAAGAAGGACUUCUGCUUGGAGAGCCCUUUUGUUGGGAAAGAAGAACAGCACGUUAAUACCCCGCUGUUCUGACGGUACCCAAAGAAUAAGCACCGGCUAACUUCGUG
rnacentral:rRNA from 1 species